rnacentral:rRNA from 1 species
CUGUGGUAAUUCUAGAGCUAAUACAUGCACCAAAGCUCUGAUUAGUGGACGAGCGCAUCUAUUAGUUUAAAACCAACCGGGCUUCGGCCCGUUCAUUGGUGAUGCUAAAUAGUUUUUGCUGAUCGCACGGUCUUGUACCGGCGACGUAUCUAUCAAGUGUCUGCCUUAUCAACUUUCGAUGGUAGUUUAUGUGACUACCAUGGUUGUAACGGGUAACGGAGAAUAAGGGUUCGACUCCGGAGAGGGAGCCUGAGAAACGGCUACCACAUCCAAGGAAGGCAGCAGGCGCGCAAAUUACCCACUCUCAGCACGAGGAGGUAGUGACGAAAAAUAACGAGACCGUUCUUUAUAAGGCCGGUUAUCGGAAUGAGUACAAUUUAAAACUGUUAACGAGGAUCUAUGAGAGGGCAAGUCUGGUGCCAGCAGCCGCGGUAAUUCCAGCUCUCAAAGUGUAUAUCGUCAUUGCUGCGGUUAAAAAGCUCGUAGUUGGAUCUUCGCUUGAGCACCCGGUCUGUCCGAUUGGAUAUGAACUGGGUUUGCUCGGCUUGUUUAGCUGGUUUUCUUUAUGUUACCUUAAUUGGUUGCAUAAGGUGGCUAGCAAGUUUACCUUGAAAAAAUUAGAGUGCUUAAAGCGGGCAUACGCUUG